AUUGAACGCUGGCGGCAUGCUUUACACAUGCAAGUCGGACGAGUGGCGGACGGGUGAGUAAUGCCUCGGAACGUACCGAGUAAUGGGGGAUAACUGUUCGAAAGGAUAGCUACUACCGCAUAUUAUCCGAUCUGCCGAUGUCUGAUUAGCUGGUUGGCGGGGUAAAGGCUCACCAAGGCGACGAUCCCUAGCUGGUCUGAGAGGAUGACCAGCCACACUGGGACUGAGACACGGCCCAGACUCCUACGGGAGGCAGCAGUGGGGAAUAUUGCGCAAUGGGGGCAAGCCUGACGCAGCCAUGCCGCGUGAAUGAAGAAGGCCUUCGGGUUGUAAAGUUCUUUCGGUAGCGAGGCGUUAACUGCAGAAGAAGCACCGGCUAACUCCGUGCCAGCAGCCGCGGUAAUAC
rnacentral:rRNA from 1 species